GGGAUAAACGCUGGCGGCGUGCAUGAGACAUGCAAGUCGAACUGACGACUCUGGCUUGCUCGAGUCGUUAGUGGCGGACGGCUGAGUAACGCGUAGGUGACCUGCCCCGAAGUGGGGGAUAACUGCCCGAAAGGGUGGCUAAUACCGCAUGUGGUGGUUCGUUCAAUCGACCCAUCAAAGCAGCAAUGCGCUUCGGGAGGGGCCUGCGUCCGAUUAGCUCGUUGGUGGGGUAACGGCUCACCAAGGCGACGAUCGGUAGGUGGUCUGAGAGGACGAUCACCCAGACUGGGACUGAGACACGGCCCAGACUCCUACGGGAGGCAGCAGUCGGGAAUUUUUGCGCAAUGGGCGAAAGCCUGACGCAGCAACGCCGCGUGAGGGAUGAAGGCCUUCGGGUUGUAAACCUCUUUUAUCAGGGAAGAUAAUGACGGUACCUGAUGAAUAAGCCACGGCUAACUACGUGCUAGCAGCCGC
rnacentral:rRNA from 1 species